AAGAGGAAGAGUGCUAUUGUCCCUCCCCCUGCUGAGAGUAAGUGUUUCCUACAAUCUCUGACUCAUUUCCAUAGUAAGACAGGGACGCUUGGUCUCAAACAU
rnacentral:snoRNA from 1 species